rnacentral:rRNA from 1 species
CCGCGGGGGACAACAGUCCGAAAGGAUUGCUAAUACCGCAUACGUCGGCGAGAUCUCCGGAUCUUGUCGGGAAAGAUGGCCUCUCCUUGGAAGCUGUCACCGGAAGAUGAACCUGCGGCCCAUCAGCUUGUUGGUGAGGUAACGGCUCACCAAGGCUAAGACGGGUAGCUGGUCUGAGAGGAUGAUCAGCCACACUGGGACUGCGACACGGCCCAG